GACGAACGCUGGCGGCGUGCUUAACACAUGCAAGUCGAACGGAAAGGCCCUGCUUUUGUGGGGUGCUCGAGUGGCGAACGGGUGAGUAACACGUGAGUAACCUGCCCUUGACUUUGGGAUAACUUCAGGAAACUGGGGCUAAUACCGGAUAGGAGCUCCUGCUGCAUGGUGGGGGUUGGAAAGUUUCGGCGGUUGGGGAUGGACUCGCGGCUUAUCAGCUUGUUGGUUGGGUAGUGGCUUACCAAGGCUUUGACGGGUAGCCGGCCUGAGAGGGUGACCGGCGACAUUGGGACUGAGAUACGGACCAGACUCCUACGGGAGGCAGCAGUGGGGAAUAUUGCAGAAUGGGCGGAAGCCUGAUGCAGCAACGCCGCGUGCGGGAUGACGGCCUUCGGGUUGUAAACCGCUUUCGCCUGUGACGAAGCGUGAGUGACGGUAAUGGGUAAAGAAGCACCGGCUAACUACGUG
rnacentral:rRNA from 1 species